rnacentral:rRNA from 1 species
UGCCAGCCGCCGCGGUAAUACGGAGGGGGUUAGCGUUGUUCGGAAUUACUGGGCGUAAAGCGUACGUAGGCGGAUUAAUAAGUUAGAGGUGAAAUCCCAGGGCUCAACCCUGGAACUGCCUUUAAAACUGUUAGUCUUGAGAUCGAGAGAGGAAAGCGGAAUUCCAAGUGUAGAGGUGAAAUUCGUAGAUAUUUGGAGGAACACCAGUGGCGAAGGCGGCUUUCUGGACAGUGACUGACGCUGAGGCGCGAAAGCGUGGGUAGCAAACAGGAUUAGAUA